UACGUAGGGUGCAAGCGUUGUCCGGAAUUAUUGGGCGUAAAGAGCUCGUAGGCGGUCUGUCGCGUCUGCUGUGAAAACUCAGGGCUUAACCCUGAGCUUGCAGUGGGUACGGGCAGACUAGAGUGCGGUAGGGGAGACUGGAAUUCCUGGUGUAGCGGUGAAAUGCGUAGAUAUCAUUUGGAACGCCAAUGGUGAAAACAGGUAGCUGGGGCUGUGCUGACACUGAGACACGAAAGCCAGGGGAGCGAACGGG
rnacentral:rRNA from 1 species